AGCAGCAGCCACGGGAAUACGUAGGGUGCAAGCGUUAAUCGGAAUUACUGGGCGUAAAGCGUGCGCAGGCGGUCCGCUAAGACAGAUGUGAAAUCCCCGGGCUUAACCUGGGAACUGCAUUUGUGACUGGCGGGCUAGAGUAUGGCAGAGGGGGAUGGAAUUCCGCGUGUAGCAGUGAAAUGCGUAGAUAUGCGGAGGAACACCGAUGGCGAAGGCAAUCCCCUGGGCCUGCACUGACGCUCAUGACGAAAGCUAGGGGAGCAAAUGGGAUUAGAUACCCGGGUAGUCCCUGUCUCUUAUACA
rnacentral:rRNA from 1 species